AAACACACUGGCCUGGCCUGCCGGGGGCUUUCCCUGCAGAAGCAGCGACCCCUGGAUUUAGUGGACUAUAACUGAUGUUUCUAGGGUUGCCAUAGUGCAAACAAUACUAACAUUUGAGAGGAAAACAGGGUUAAAUAAAAAAAUAAUAAGCUAUUGUUGGACUCCUAAAACAAGAUAAGCUAUAAGCUGGCACCUUUUAAGUAAAAUAAAUUGGCUACAAAAUCUUAACCUGAGGUUUCAUCAUCUUUUUAAUGUUACUCAUUUAUAGUGUAUGUCUCAAGUGUUUUUUCUCUGCCUUUUAAAAAACAAACCAGCUUGAGAAAGUCAGGAGAAAAAACGAUCUUCUUGUAGUUCAAUUCUUUUAUUCUUUAAUCAGAACUAAUCCAGUGUUGUGAACUGUGUGUGGGUAACUCCAUUUGGGGUACCAAACUGUUGUAUAUUGAUCCCCUUAGAGGGACAAUGGACCUAAUAUAUCUGGACUGCCCAGGAGAGGGGUAGACAGUGGAGAACACACUUUUUUGGGGAAAUCCGGGACUGGGAGUGUGUUGGGGUCAUCCUGCAAGUGUUGACUAAGGCUGGGGGGAAACCACAGUGUGACCAAUGUGUGGCUGGCAGGCUGCAGCUAUACACAGACACUCAGGGUGUGACCUGCAUGUUGGUAGGCUGUUUGUGGAGGAUAAAGGUUGCAUAUCAAUCCAUGGGUCCUGCCAUAUGGGGGCCCUAAAAGCCUUGGCCCAUGUAUAAAUAAAAUUUAUAAAUCCUACAAAUGCUUUUGGUUUAAUUUCUUGCACUCUAAGUGUGCCUGAAAUCCAACCAAUCUCCUCUUUCUCCAGGCAGUCAUGGUAACAGCACACACAGACAUGGUGCACAGUUGGACAUGAAUUUUUAGGCCCAUUGAUUUUGAGCUAGACUUCAUGAAAAUCAAGUGACAUUAAGAUGUACAUAAAAUAUUUAGCAUUAUUUGCUGCACACCCUAGGAAUGAUGAAAGGAAUAUGAAAAAAUGCUAAAAUAUGCAGCUGGAAAGUUUAGAAAUUAUGCAUAUUAUAAUUGUAAAUCUCUGUAAUGCAAGUAUUUCUGAUAUGUUAUUUAUAGACUUUGGUAAAACUCUGUGCCACAUUUAAUGAAAUGCCUUCAAUAGUCUGAUGUUAUUUAAUGCUGGCAUCUCUGCAUUUUAAAAGGACAUUGGCAGUACAUAUGACGUAGACUAGUGUGAAAUUCAGUGUAUGUUCAAAAUAGUGUGAAAUACAUAGAAUAGAUAGGAUUGGGGGAGAAAAUGGGAUCGAAAAAUCUGACCAACUCUAAGUGUUCCUCUUCGUUUAAAGAAAAAACGUAACCCACUUCAUUUAAAUACAAGUGUUAUCUGUCUGGACAGUUAAUGGAUUUCAGAAUUGUAAAUCUAAAUUGUGCACUUAAUUUUAUUGAUACCCACUGUAAAUAAGAUGCAUACCAAUUAUUUCUGGCAGUUUUUCUCAUUAGAAUUGCUGAUUAUUUGUAACUAAUAUGGAGCAUUUCACCUGCAAGUUGCAUUUCAAAUCCUAUUCAGGAUGCUAAGAGUAAAUUAUCAGAUAGCUCUUCGCUCUGUCGAGUUCCCGGUAGAGAUAGGCAUUCCCAUCACAAAAGCUGCUGGCCACUGAAUAUAUAGAAAAGUGUGACUGUUCAUGGAGACUGAACUAUUGCCUCACUUCCAUGGAGGUUACUACGAUCAGGUAUUCAAUGGACAGUGCAGCGAAUGUUGCCCAACUGAACCUCUUGUGGCAAAUGGAUUGUUAAGCCAACACCUUAAAGGGUCUGUAAACUCACAUCAACCCCCAAAAGCCAUUCAUGUUGCUGUGACUCAAAAUUAUAAUUGAUUGAAAAAAUACUUUUUGCUAAAUUUAGGCUGAAAACUGCACUUGGUUUAAAAUUAUUCUUUGAAAAAGUCAGCAAUACUUCAAGAGCUUUAAAGGCUGAGAUAGAAUAUGGCUCUAAGCAGCAGGAUGGUGUAAGGUUUUUUGUUUUGUUUUUAAAUCACUAGAUAAAAACAUCUACAUUUCAAAGAUGUAAAUGUGCAGAAGGAUCUUUUGGAGGAUUCAUUACCUAGAAAAGAUCACGCUGAUGGCUUUACAAAAUUCAUCCCCAGUACAGUACUUAAGCACCUGUAAUCGGAUGAUUUGCUUUUUGGCUCAGGGAAAAGAAGCUGAAUACACUGUGAGAAGCUGGGCGUAUCUCAGAGGCUGAUGUAUUACAGUCACUAACAAAGCAUUAAUACUAUGAAAUAUUUCCUGUGUAUGAAACAGAAUAAAAGCUGCCCCCCCCCCCCCGGUUGCUUCCCAAAAAGCAAUCUAGUUCCCAACAUAACACUAAUAUGUCUAAUAUGCUGAAAGAUCAGAAGUGCUCUUUUGGUUGUGUGAAAUUGGUAGUUUAACUGUUUGCCUUUAAUCCUUGAAAUUAUGAGCCAUCUGUUUGCCAUGAAGACACUAUCGCAUUUGUAUAAAAACAUGAUGAAAACUAGGCUUGACCUUCAUCUGUGGCAACAUGGGGCAAGAUCAUUUUGUUGAUUUUGAUUAAAUAUGCAAAAUGCAGAACUAAUUACUUCUCCAGAGCCAUCUUGAUAUGGUUAUUUUCCACAUUUUGAUCAACAGUGCUCUUUUGUUUUCAUUAUACAGUUAUUUCCUUUCAAACUGGUGUUUUGAAACGCAGUCCUUAAAUGGUAAUGGGAAUACUUUCCAAGUGGCAACUUGCUAGAUAGUACGUUGCCACUUGCAAAUGAUUCUCUCUGUCCUUUCAGAUGUUCAUCUCUUUGUUUUAAAGACUGCAAGGAAGAGCACCACAUCUGAUUUAGAAUUUUAAUAUGGUGAUGGAGGCUUUGCCACCAGGCUGUUGUACUGUUUUGUGUUAUAAUGAAAUCUGCUAGAAAUAUGCUUUGGAACUGAAAAGAUUAUCCUUCCAGAGAAACAGGUAUGCAAAAGUCAAGUCAUAUCUACUAAACUGCAACAUGCUGGAUUUGUAUACUCUAAAAUGUAGCUCUUUCAGUAGUGUGGAUUGAACUUGCUUGUGCCAUUUCAAUGUCAAAAACAGUUUUGUUUAGAAACAAAACAGCUUCUGUCUAAACCAGUUGCCUUACUUGUAUCUGUAGACAGGCUUUGAUUGACAUGGCUUACUAAAAACAUUUAGUGUCACAGUGACUGAUCACCUAAGGUAGGUAUAUAAUCUUAUUUUAUUACAUGUGCUUCCAGCAAGUGUCUGAGGUAAUUGACAGCCAUAUCUGUGAUUGGCUAUGAAGAAAGAUAAAGCAAGGGGAACUGUUAUAUACUGCGCUAGAAAUAACAUUUCUAGCAUACUGACUGCUCAGCCGGAGCACUGUGCCUUCUUUUCCUACAGUGCUUUUCAGUGGUGCCAUGAGUCUUUUGCUGGACCUUUAUUACUGCUGAAGCAUUGCUACUUAGUUAAUUGGAACAUUAGGUAUACUGACACAAAUUGGAAGUUACAUGCACUUCCCCUGCUACUGCAUUCACCUGAGGCUUGUUUGUUUAGUUUUAGGGCUAUUAAAAAAUAAAGUUUUGGGCUCAAAUAACCCUACAGCCUGCUGUCUAAUAACUAUUUAACCAGCAGUCCCCAGCAGUGGGGCAUUACUUGGACAUAACUGACCACAGCCUGAACUAAGGGCCCUCUACGUGAAAGCAAAUGCCAAACUGCCCCCCUUGGACAGUAUUACUCACCCCCCCAUCUUGAGAGCUGUAACUACAGAAACCUAUUGAAACAGUCAAAAUCUAGUCUGAGCCAUAACAAGUGAGAUUAAUUUUGAUCAUUCACUUCUCUGCCCUGCUGGGCUAGUUGCUCAUGUCCUAUCCUGCCCAGCCCAUGUGUUCUGUGUGGCUGCAGCUGCACUGGAGAGCUGCACAACAGUGUCGCUUCAUGGUCGCUACUGUGGACCACCAAGUGGGAGAGGUGAGAUCAGACUGGAGCCAGACAGCAGUAGCCUAGACCGUGCUCCAAGGGGACGAGGGCAGCUCCUUGAGCCCAGCAGCAGCCACAGCCUGUAGCCUAUCCAGGCAAUGCAGGAGCACCUCAUCUCCUGACUCCCAGCCUAGGUCAGGGCACUGCAAGGGGAAAAUGAUAUGGGAGGUGAAUGAAUUGGUUGGGAAGGCAGAGACCCAGAAUAACUGGGGAGCGGAAGGUGAUUGCUCCAGCCCCAGUGAACCUAGAGCAAGUGGCCAAAGCCUUCAGCAGCGAUGAGUGGGUUAUGAUGCCUCAGUUUUGGAGUCCCAACAUGACACCCCCUGCAAGGGGCCUGUUUUUAAAGCGAGGGCUCAACAUCCCUCUCCCCACCCCUGCAAGUCCAGCCCUUUUCAUACAAACCAGGCACCCAAAAUCACUUGUGGAAAUCUUGGCAGUUGCUCUAGGAGCUGUGGGGAAGAAGCCCUGAUGGGGUUCCCAGGCUUCAGCCAGAAUGGUACUUUAGGGGGUAUAAACUACUCAGGAGAUACACAGCCCCCUCAGCACAAAGAGAAGUCGUGGGGGAUGGAGAGGCCAGUAGCAGCUCUUCUUUUGCGCCACCUAAAAUUUAUAUCUCGGUUCUGCCUGGAGGCCUCAAGUAGGGUCCUGUUGUACUGAGCACUGAUCAUGAUGGACUCGCAACUCAGGGAUCAUGAUCAGAUCUAAGGGUGUUGCACCCAAUCUCUUUCUUUUGAUGGCUAGAGUAGGGGUCCUGAAACCUUUUCCUAUUUUUAGACUGGGGUGAGGUUUUAAAAAGGUUGAAAAUCAAGCUUGUACAUUCUAACUGCUGUUGGUAACAGGUGAAUCCCUUUCAGCGUUGAUGCUUGAAUAUUUAAAUAUAGAUGCUGCCCCCUCACAUAUUCCUUUGUAAUUUGAAAGUGUGUAUUUUUAAAUUUCUGUGUGUCUUGAAGCAUUCUGCAUUUUUCAUUGUGGUGUUUGUUAAAUAAAAUUCUUGGCUGAGAUGAAUAAAUGAUGCCCAAACCUAU